UGAACGCUAGCGGCAGGCCUAAUACAUGCAAGUCGAACGGUAACAUGAGAGCUUGCUCUUGAUGACGAGUGGCGCACGGGUGCGUAACGCGUAUGCAACCUACCCUUUACUGGGGGAUAGCCCGGAGAAAUUCGGAUUAAUACCCCAUGGUACUAUAAAGCAGCAUUGCUUACUAGUUAAAGAUUUAUUGGUAAAGGAUGGGCAUGCGUGACAUUAGUUAGUUGGUGAGGUAAUGGCUCACCAAGACGAUGAUGUCUAGGGGUUCUGAGAGGAAGAUCCCCCACACUGGUACUGAGACACGGACCAGACUCCUACGGGAGGCAGCAGUAGGGAAUAUUGGUCAAUGGACGCAAGUCUGAACCAGCCAUGCCGCGUGCAGGAUGACAGCUUUCUGAGUUGUAAACUGCUUUUAUAUAGGAACAAAGAGGCCAUGCGUGGCAAGUUGCGUGUACUAUAUGAAUAAGCACCGGCUAACUCC
rnacentral:rRNA from 1 species